AGAGUUUGAUUAUGGCUCAGGGUGAACGCUGGCGGCGUGCUUGACACAUGCAAGUCGAACGGUAUGUGGCAACACAUAGAGUGGCGAACGGGUGAGUAACACGUGGGAACGUACCCUCUGCAGGGGGAUAACUGACCGAAAGGACAGCUAAUACCGCAUAAGACCGAGAGGAGAAAGGUGCAACAGCAUCGGCAGAGGAGCGGCCCGCGGACCAUCAGCUAGUUGGUGGGGUAAGAGCCUACCAAGGCAACGACGGAUAGCCGGCGUGAGAGCGUGGCCGGCCACAAGGACACUGAGAUACGGGUCCUACUCCUACGGGAGGCAGCAGUGCGGAAUUUUAGAUAAUGGAGGCAACUCUGAUCUAGCGACGCCGCGUGCAGGAAGAAGGUCUUCGGAUUGUAAACUGCUGUGGUAAGGGAAAAAUGCCAUGUAGAGUGGAAAGCUACAUGGAGGGAUGGUACUUUACUAGAAAGCCCCGGCUAACUACGUGCCAGCAGCCGCGGUAAUACGGAGGGUGCAAGCGUUAAUCGGAAUUACUGGGCGUAAAGGGAGCGUAGGAGGCCUGACAUGUCACAACUGUGAAAACCCGGAACUCAACUCCCGGACUUGCAGUUGAAACUGCCAGGCUUGAGGACGGUAGAGGAAGACGGAACUGCCAGUGUAGGGGUAAAAUCCUUAGAUAUUGGCAGGAACGCCGGUGACGAAGGUGGUUUUCUGGGCCGGUUCUGACACUGAUGCUCGAAAGCCAGGGGAGCGAACGGGAUUAGAUACCCUGGUAGUC
rnacentral:rRNA from 1 species